GUAGGUUCUAGGGGGCGGUGCUGGCCGCAGUGGACUGGCCUGCAGCCAGCAAACCCCAAACAGGAACCUAUGGUUGGUGAUGGAUGUGCGUUCAGAAAGCAGGGAGGGAGGGGGAGUCAGAGGUGAGGGGGUCAUCAGCCAUA
rnacentral:misc_RNA from 1 species